rnacentral:rRNA from 1 species
GAUGAACGCUGGCGGCGUGCUUAACACAUGCAAGUCGAACGGAAAGGCUCCUGCUUGCAGGGGUACUCGAGUGGCGAACGGGUGAGUAACACGUGGGUGAUCUGCCCUGCACUUCGGGAUAAGCCUGGGAAACUGGGUCUAAUACCGGAUAGGACGAUGGUUUGGAUGCCAUUGUGGAAAGUUUUUCGGUGUGGGAUGAGCUCGCGGCCUAUCAGCUUGUUGGUGGGGUAAUGGCCUACCAAGGCGUCGACGGGUAGCCGGCCUGAGAGGGCGUACGGCCACAUUGGGACUGAGAUACGGCCCAGACUCCUACGGGAGGCAGCAGUGGGGAAUAUUGCACAAUGGGCGCAAGCCUGAUGCAGCGACGCCGCGUGGGGGAUGACGGCCUUCGGGUUGUAAACUCCUUUCGCUAGGGACGAAGCGCAAGUGACGGUACCUGGAGAAGAAGCACCGGCUAACUACGUG